rnacentral:rRNA from 1 species
GACGAACGCUGGCGGCGUGCUUAACACAUGCAAGUCGAACGGAAAGGCCCUGCUUGCAGGGUACUCGAGUGGCGAACGGGUGAGUAACACGUGGGUGAUCUGCCCUGCACUUCGGGAUAAGCCUGGGAAACUGGGUCUAAUACCGGAUAGGAGCCAUUUUUAGUGUGAUGGUUGGAAAGUUUUUUCGGUGUAGGAUGAGCUCGCGGCCUAUCAGCUUGUUGGUGGGGUAAUGGCCUACCAAGGCGGCGACGGGUAGCCGGCCUGAGAGGGUGACCGGCCACAUUGGGACUGAGAUACGGCCCAGACUCCUACGGGAGGCAGCAGUGGGGAAUAUUGCACAAUGGGCGGAAGCCUGAUGCAGCAACGCCGCGUGCGGGAUGACGGCCUUCGGGUUGUAAACCGCUUUCGCCUGUGACGAAGCGUGAGUGACGGUAAUGGGUAAAGAAGCACCGGCUAACUACGUG